ACCGCUUGUGACCGGCCUGCACCCUGACACAGAGCCAUUGAUCACAGCCCUCUGGCUGCGUCCAGCAAUUCCUGAUCCAUCCAACAGCCCAUCCUUCAAAUCCACACCUCUCCAAGUUAGGGAGCAGGAUGUGGUGAGGGACCACGUCAAAGGCCUUGCAGAAGUCCAGGCAGAUGACAUCCACUGCCCUUCCCCCGUCCACCAAAGCCGUCACUCCACCACAGAAGGCCACCAGAUUGGUCAGGCACGAUCUGCCCUUGGUGCAGCCAUGCUGGCUGCCUCGAAUCACCUCUUGUGCCUGAACACAGCUUCCAGGAGGAUCUGCUCCAUGUCUUCCCAGGCACAGAGGUGAGGCUCACCGGCCUCACCCCUUCUUAAAAAUGGGAGCAACGGUUCCCUUUUUCCAGUCAGCGGGGACUUCACCGGACAGCCGUUAUUUUUCAAAUAUGAUGGAGAGCGGCUCGGCAACCACAUCAGCCACCUCCCUCAGAACCCCAGGAUGGAUAUCGUCCGGCCCCAUGGAUUUAUGUGCAUUCAGUUACGUGAGGAGGACUCGGACAUGUUCCACUGUUGCAGUGGGACGGAAUCCCAUCCCACGUGUAAUUCAAAUCUCCCCUCCUUUACGUUAAAACCAUUCCCCCUUUGUCCAAUCACCAUCACCGCACAAAAAGUUCAUUUCCCUCCUCUUUAUCAUCUCCUUUGAAACAAUGGAAGGCUGCAUUGAGCAGCCACAGCAAGUGUUGGUGACGGGGCAGGCACAGAGCAACGCCUGUGACACCACGGGACCGUGUCACAGAGGGGCACUGUGACCUCAGGGGAGAGGGGCUGACCCCAGCGGUCACGGAACCCCCCACUGCCACUCUCGAGCUAGCAUGGCAGAGAGAAUUCCUCCACGGAUGCUGACGGUGCUUCCGACACCCGACGCGAUUUUCCCUGGAUCCCUUGUGCCUCCACCGGCCACUGCUGCAAUGCAGCCCAACAUCAGCGGAGCAGUGCCAGUGUCGGUCCAACCCCUCCCUGUCCCCAAUGUCACCUACGUGGUGCCUCAGGCUUCUGUCUGGCCUGGGGUACCAGGUGUCCAAGGACAGGGAGUGCAGCUCCCACCUGGGGGGAUGCCCCCAGCUGUGGGUCAGCUGCCACCUGGGGGGGUCCCCCAAGUUGUGGGUCAGCUCCCACCUGGGGUGAUGCCCCAAGUUGUGGGUCAGCUCCCACCUGGGGGGAUGCCUCUAACAGUGGGUCAGCUGCCACCUGGGGUGAUGCCCCAAAUUGUAGGUCAGCUCCCACCUGGGGGGAUGCUCCCAACAGUGGUUCAGCUGCCACCUGGGGGGAUCCCCCAAGUUGUGGGUCAGCUGCCACCUGGGAGAAUGCUCCCAACCGUGGGUCAGCUGCCACCUGGGGGGGUCCCCCAAGUUGUGGGGCAGCUCCCACCUGGGGGGAUGCCCCCAACUGUGGUUCAGCUGCCACCUGGGGUGAUGCCCCAAGUGUGGGUCAGCUGCCACCUGGGGGGGUCCCCCAAGUUCUGGGUCAGCUCCCACUCGUGGGGAAGACCCCAGCUGUGGCUAAGCGGCCACGUGGGAGGAAGCCCCCAGCUGUGGUUAAGCGGCCACGUGGGGGGAAGCCCCCAACUGUGGGUCAGCUGCCACCUCAGGGGGUGCCCCCGAUCGUGGUUCAGCUCACUCCUGAGGGGCUGCCCACUGUUGUGGGCCAUCUCCAACCUGGGGGGCAGCAGUUACCCCUGCUCAUGCUCCUACCCGGCGGCAUGAAGCCAGGCAUGCCUCCCCCCAAUGCCCCUGCCCACUGCUGGGAACAUCCCCCGGCGGCAGGGACGAUGCAGCCCCAGCAGCCGAUGGGGCUGCGGCCUGGGGCCGCGUUGAGUGGGCAGCCCCCGCAGCCCGCAGGCAGCUGCCCGCUUCAGGACCCCGACCGCCCCAGCCCCUCAACUGUCCUCCAAGGACCUCCGGUGCAGCAGCAGGGGCUCCUCGUGCCCAGCACCCUGCCCACCAGCUUAGAGCAGGCUGUGAAGCCCGGUGGAAAUGCCGUGGUGCACAUGGAGGACCAGGGGCACCCAGCACCCAUCAGCGUGUGCCCCCAUCCCACCACGGCUCCGCUCACCUGCAGCACCGCAGCGCUGGAAUCAGGUGCAGCAACACCGAGCUCAGAGAUCCCGGAGGACAUCACCAACAUCAGUGACCUCCUGGCUUGGAUCAACAGCGAAGUGGCACCCAAAAUAGACGUCCCGGACAACAUCCCGGACAUGGAUGAUCACUCGGCCGAGUGCCCAGCCCCUGCCUGCACCACCAGCGGGGACGAGCAGCACACUGGCAGCAUCCAAGCUGCAAAGAGGAAGCUGCCCGAGAGCCAGGAUGCUCCAGAACAAAAACGCCAGUGCUAGGCAAAGCUGGGUGUGCUCAGCAAGAACACGAGCAUCUGAACCGGCCCACAUUGCGGCAGGAGACACGGCCAUUACCAACUAAUAAGGCCACCUGUAGCCCUGGGCUCCUCGCCGGCCCCUCGCACAGAGCAGCGGCAGUGCUCCAGGGGCACCAGCACCGGCCCCAGCCCAACCCCUGCAAACCUGGGCUGUCCACCAACACCACCUUGGUCUGGGAUAGUGUGGGACUCCAUUAGAUUAUGUUACGUUAUGUUUUCUUUUGUUAUGUUAUGAUAUUUUAUGUUAUUUUAUGUUCAAUUCCAUUAAAUUCCUUUAAAUUAUUAAAUGUGUCAUAUUCACUUUGCUACGGCGGCCUGCAGUUGUUCAUACAGCACGACCCCCCCUCCCCAGACCCUGGUGCCCACCUGCGGGGCAGGACGGGGCAGCACAAAGGGCCGUGUCCCAGGGCUGCCCCACCAGCCCCAUCCCUCCCCUCCAAAAUCCUCUCCAGAAUCCCCUCCCCUCCUCAGGCAGCACCACUGGGAACGCAGGGAUGGUAAACGGUUGGGGUGGGAUUCUGGGAGAGCUGGGGUGGCCCAGCCUGCAGGAGAGCAGGCUCAGGGGGAUCCCAAGCAUGGCCAUCAGUCCCUGCAAAGAGGACGGAGCCGGGCUGCACCCAGCGGUGCCCAGCAGCUGCACCAGAGGCAUUGGGCAACACACUGGGGCACAGCUGUGGUUGCAGCGAGACAAGAACUGCAGCUCCUCCUCAUUGGUGGUCCACAUCACCAUCACUGCUGACAGUGCCCCAUCCGGGUUGUCCGGCUGUGGGAUGUGACCCCCUGCCACUGCCAUCCCCUGAUGAAGGGUGCAGAGGAAGCAGCUGAGGUGCCCAGGAACAGCCAGGCCUGUGGAGCACCCACCGGGAAGCAGAGGCUGUGCUCGUUGUCCAGGGGGCAGCUCCCAGCCCCUAACGC